UACGAAGGGGGCUAGCGUUGCUCGGAAUUACUGGGCGUAAAGGGAGCGUAGGCGGAUAGUUUAGUCAGAGGUGAAAGCCCAGGGCUCAACCUUGGAAUUGCCUUUGAUACUGGCUGUCUUGAGUAUGGGAGAGGUGUGUGGAACUCCGAGUGUAGAGGUGAAAUUCGUAGAUAUUCGGAAGAACACCAGUGGCGAAGGCGACACACUGGCCCAUUACUGACGCUGAUGCUCGAAAGCGUGGGGAGCAAACAGG
rnacentral:rRNA from 1 species